CUACGGGGGGCAGCAGUGGGGAAUAUUGGACAAUGGGCGAAAGCCUGAUCCAGCCAUGCCGCGUGUGUGAAGAAGGCCUUCGGGUUGUAAAGCACUUUCAGUGGGGAAGAAAGCCUUGGGGCUAAUACCCUCGAGGAAGGACAUCACCCACAGAAGAAGCACCGGCUAACUCCGUGCCAGCAGCCGCGGUAAUACGGAGGGUGCGAGCGUUAAUCGGAAUUACUGGGCGUAAAGCGGGCGUAGGCGGUCUGAUAAGCCGGUUGUGAAAGCCCCGGGCUCAACCUGGGAACGGCAUCCGGAACUGUCAGGCUAGAGUGCAGGAGAGGAAGGUAGAAUUCCCGGUGUAGCGGUGAAAUGCGUAGAGAUCGGGAGGAAUACCAGUGGCGAAGGCGGCCUUCUGGACUGACACUGACGCUGAGGUGCGAAAGCGUGGGUAGCAAACAGGAUUAGAUACCCCAGUAGUC
rnacentral:rRNA from 1 species